ensembl:lncRNA
CUCGAGGGCGGAUCCCGGUAGAGGAAGCGCACCCUGGCGCUGUCCCCUCCCCUUCCUCCUCAAACGCACUUCCCUCGAACUGUGGGGACUUUCCUUUCCGGGUUUGGCUCACCAAUCCGCCUGAACUGUGUGUGGCUUUGUUUUAAUCGAUAAAAAUCCCUCCGUAGAUUUCCCCUUCAAAUAAAAAAUAGGGUUGAAAGAGAAGCCAUUAUCACUUUCGUUCUGUUUUCGUUUUUCUUGUACGGAGAGAAGAGUCAGGAAAGAGGCUGGCGCUUGGGUUAGGCAUUGACAGGGUCAGCCUCGCCUUUCAAGGCCCUUUCCCUCCUCCCCGACUCUCCCGCGGCUUUAAGUAAUCUCCUCUUGCCAGCGCGAGCUCCUUUUUCUUCGUGGGUCGCCUCUCCUCGUAGACAUGCGCCGUGGGCGUAACGCGCGUGCGGCCGAGCUUGGCCCUUCGGCGGACGACUGAUGCCCAGUGGGUUGCCCCGGAAGGGGAGGCGUGAGUGCUCUGUGGAGCUUCUCGGCGGUGUAAGCCUCUGGAGCAUGGGUUGAGCCGGGCGAAGUGAAGUUUCCCCGACUUGAGGUGGGGCGCAAAUGCCCCCCGCGCUGCCGAAGGGACUCGGUUGCGGGAUUUCGGACCCACGCGGCUGACGACUCCCGUAGAUUUUCAGGGCUCCUGUCUUGCUUGUGGUAUACAAUGUUGCAGCUCUUCCAGACCCAGGAACCAGGAAACCACAAAUUUUUCUAUGUGGACCAGUGAUCAAAUCAGAGGUGGCAAGCACUUGAGAGUUUUUUUUUUUUCAUUCUUGAAUCCUUGUUUAUAAGCAUAUUCUUGAAGUAAUAAAAAAAAUUUUUUUAAUGAGACCUGCCGCCUC